CGAGCUCUGGUAUUGAUUGGUGCUUGCAUCAUGAUUUACAUUUGAGUGAGUGGCGAACUGGUGAGUAACACGUGGGAAACCUGCCCAGAAGCGGGGGAUAACACCUGGAAACAGAUGCUAAUACCGCAUAACAACUUGGACCGCAUGGUCCGAGUUUGAAAGAUGGCUUCGGCUAUCACUUUUGGAUGGUCCCGCGGCGUAUUAGCUAGAUGGUGAGGUAACGGCUCACCAUGGCAAUGAUACGUAGCCGACCUGAGAGGGUAAUCGGCCACAUUGGGACUGAGACACGGCCCAAACUCCUACGGGAGGCAGCAGUAGGGAAUCUUCCACAAUGGACGAAAGUCUGAUGGAGCAACGCCGCGUGAGUGAAGAAGGGUUUCGGCUCGUAAAACUCUGUUGUUAAAGAAGAACAUAUCUGAGAGUAACUGUUCAGGUAUUGACGGUAUUUAACCAGAAAGCCACGGCUAACUACGUGCCAGCAGCCGCGGUAAUACGUAGGUGGCAAGCGUUGUCCGGAUUUAUUGGGCGUAAAGCGAGCGCAGGCGGUUUUUUAAGUCUGAUGUGAAAGCCUUCGGCUCAACCGAAGAAGUGCAUCGGAAACUGGGAAACUUGAGUGCAGAAGAGGACAGUGGAACUCCAUGUGUAGCGGUGAAAUGCGUAGAUAUAUGGAAGAACACCAGUGGCGAAGGCGGCUGUCUGGUCUGUAACUGACGCUGAGGCUCGAAAGUAUGGGUAGCAAACAGGAUUAGAUACCCUGGUAGUCCAUACCGUAAACGAUGAAUGCUAAGUGUUGGAGGGUUUCCGCCCUUCAGUGCUGCAGCUAACGCAUUAAGCAUUCCGCCUGGGGAGUACGGCCGCAAGGCUGAAACUCAAAGGAAUUGACGGGGGCCCGCACAAGCGGUGGAGCAUGUGGUUUAAUUCGAAGCUACGCGAAGAACCUUACCAGGUCUUGACAUACUAUGCAAAUCU
rnacentral:rRNA from 2 species